AGAAUCAACGCUGGCGGCGUGCCUAACACAUGCAAGUCGCACGAGGAAGGGACUUCGGUCCUGAGUAAAGUGGCGCACGGGUGAGUAACACGUGAAUCAUCUACCUCCGAGUGGGGAAUAACCUAGAGAAAUCUGGGCUAAUACCGCAUAACACUUACGAGUCAAAGCAGCAAUGCGCUUGGAGAGGAGUUCGCGGCAGAUUAGUUAGUUGGCGGGGUAAUGGCCCACCAAGACGAUGAUCUGUA
rnacentral:rRNA from 1 species